AGUAACAUUAGGAGAGGCUCUUGAGGGGAAUAAUUGCACUUAGGCAGCUGAUUGCUACAGCCUCUGGAAGUGUGGUGGCUGUUUUAUCCAAGUAGAACUGUGCUAUGAGUUAGCUAAUGGAAGGGUGUUGGAAAUCCAUGCAAACUUCAUCUUGGUCUCACCUCUACUCUACGUGGGUGAGAGAAGGGAAUGAGUCAUAAGCAUCACUUUAUGAUGCUGGCCCUGGAACUCACAGGAAGCAGUAUGAAUACUUCAGUAGCAGUCUUACCAAAGAACUAAACCGGACAGGACAGUAGAUUUUGUACAGGGUAGUAAUUCUGGAUAAAUAGCCAGAUUAUGACUUUCAGAACAGGUUCUGUCCUACAGACCUGUGUACUGAUCAACAGAGAAGAUCUCCUGGAGAAAGAACAUUUAAUUAAAUCUCUUUAAGUCAUGAAGCCACCUAUCUGUUUCUAUUUAAAGGCAUAUUGCAUCUCUUACUUCCUUUUGGCCAAAGGACAAGAGGAAAUAAAAAGGAAAGGAAGCUACCUUUCCAGCAACUACCAUCUGUAACAAAAGGAGAGAUUUUAUGGAAGAAGAUUUAAGAAGAACAUUAGGGUUCCACUAAGUAUGCUGACACAAUCAGAACAGUAACCAUACCAGUAGGAUGGUUUGGUAUCUGGCAGAUUAUUAAACUCCUUUCAGAGGAGCUGGAGUAACUGCAUGAAGCUUCUUCUCCUAUAUUGAAUGAUAGCGUCGAGACUAAGACGGCCAUGAAACAAGAAGGUGCUGGCUGUGCAGGAUGAGAGCCAUUGGAUGUUUCCUCCAUUCACCUACCCUCUUUUUUCCUUCCGUCUUCACCUCAGUUGGAGGACUAGAGAGGCUGAGCAGUAAAUUCUGAGUCCCAGUGCCAGGGAUUAUGUGAAGAGCCUUAUAGCCAUGUUCCAUGCCUAUGGAGGGAGCCAUUUGGAUAUCAAGGGGGGGCAGAAUUUUCAGCAGGACUUACCAAGAAAAAGAAACUGCACAAAAUGAAAAAAAUGGAUUUAACAUAAAAAUCCAGGUGUUAAGAUUGAGCAGCAGAGCAUGAUGCCCGAAUUCGAGAGGGAGAGAGAGACCUUUGCUUCGAACAGCCGGACCAUUCUUUGGUCCUAGAACACCUGACUCUGCAUCAGUUCCUGUGAGGAGCAGCACCACCCCAUCUAACCGGUUCCCAUAUUCAUUAUUAAUCAUUCUAAGUGUCAUCUGCUUUGCCAUAUAGCACAGCGGGGGAGCCCCUUACCUGAUCAGCGGGGGGAGCACCUUACCUGAUCAGCGGGGGGAGCACCUUACCUGAUCAGUGGGGGAAGCACCUUACCCGAUCUUGGCGAACAGAGCAAAUGUAGUCACUUCUUUCCUUCCCCCGGACCUCUGACCACCUUGCCAGGCAGAGGUGAGGGUGCAGCUGGUAAACCAAGAGCUUACGCGGACCCACAUCUCUAUUCACACAUCAGGCAGAUGGACGAGAGCUGUUAAGACUGCAGUGUAGACAAAUCAUUGCCCAGAUGCCCUUGAUCCUACAGGUCUCUUCUCCGCCACCACCUCUGUGAACUGGAGCCUGCUUUGCCAGUGGCACUACCCUGGGGAGAGGAGGGAGGAAGACACUAUUAGCAAAUGUUGCUGCUUCUUUUCUUUUGUGUGUUUCUCACAGUCCUAUUGUACACCUGACAUCUGACACAAUGAAUGCAUUAUCAAAUCAUUAGUCCCCAUCCAAUGCGAGGCACCAAAUCUGCAGUCAGUCAGUGCUGUAGAGAUCCAGAGAAGCAGUUAAGUGUUAAUGGAUUUGCUUUAGGCAUUUUACAACCUAUUGGUCCUAAUUAGACUGAGCAAGGGUUGCUAUAGACAACCUGGAAAUUUAAAUAAUGCAUUUAUUCUGAUAUAUUCUUCCUAAACAUGUCAGCAAGAAUGUAAGAAAAAAAGAGAGAGAGAGAGUAGAGAGAGAAAUCACCAAAGAGUGGAGAGAUGAAGCAAAAAUUUUACUUUUCAAAACCUAGAGCCUAAACCUCACUGAGUUAUUGUGUAUAGUUGAUGAUGUGGCUUAGCAAAUCUUAAAAUGGCAGCCUGAGUAUAACACAUUCCAGAAGCUUACACCAAGUGUCACCUAAACAAUGUGGUUGCAAAAGAAAUUUGAAUUGAUCACUAGAAACACAAAGCUAAAUUGUAGAAAAGCACAGAUUCUUCAGACGAAGAACAGGGAUGGGAUCUGAACCCAGCAUGGGUCCUAGUGGUGUUAAGCCUGAAGAAGUAAGAGCAAGAGGGGUCACUUAUUAUACGAACUUUAAUGAGCUGUCUUGCGGCAGCAACAGUGGAGGUCCUUUGAAGUACCCAGAACCCUCAGAAGACAACAUUUGGAGAGACAUACAGACAUUUGCAAUAAUCAAUAGCAACAGUGGCAAAAGCAUUAAUUAAAGCUGCUGCAGUUUUUUGCAACUCAAGGAGGUUGAGAUUUCUGAUAAUUGUAGUACAGUAAAUGGAAUAAGGAAACCAAAGCUCUUUGUCUCAUAUGCAGGCCAAUUUUCCAUGCACAAUCAAAUUUUGCUUCUUAUAUUCCCUACCAGCUGCUCUAAACCCACUGAGGAUUCGGAAGUCAUGAUACAAUAUUAGUAAGAAAAUUAGAGUGGUAGCAAAUCACAAGUUUUCGGAGCAACACAAUAGGAGGUCAGUUCAUAUUAAAUAUCCACAGCCUGUGUGCACACACUCCAUUUCCUAGGAGACUCUAAGCAAAAUACCGCCUUCAGGGAUAUACACUUAGUAGCUUUUGCAUAACAAUAACCAAGAUGCAGAUCCCAGCUAAUGAAAUUCUGAUGCUGAAGAAGGGCCCCCAAGGCUCAGAACAGAGGCCUGGAGGAAAAAAGGGAUAAACUCCUUAUUUAAAAAGUAAACAGUCAGUCUCCUUUAUUUAUUCAUUUAACAUAUAUUUAUUGCAGGCCUUCUUCCUAUCACUUUGGUUAGGCCCUGGAGCUGUCUUGGUGAGAAAAUACAGACUCUGGCCCUGACCUCAAGGAGUUUAAACCUAAAGGGAGACAGAUUUCAUGAAACAUUCACAUAAAUGUAUAUUUACAAACUGUGCAGUUGCUUUGAAGUAAAGGUACCCGGUGGUAUAAAAGCAUCUAACAGAAGACACUGACCUUGGCCAUGGAGGGUAUACAGGGAAUAUGAGGGAUGACCAGGAAUUCUAAGAGGAGAGAAAUUCAAAAGAGCUCUUGUUUCAAGGGAAAGCAUGUGCCAAGAGCCUGUGGCCUGAAGGGACACAAUGCUUUCAAGAAAUGAAGAGAGAAGGAACAUUUGGUGGGCAGAGGGCAAAGAGCAAGAUGCGAAAUGAAGUAGAGACACAUAGGCAGACACUAGACCAUGCAGGCCACAGGAACUUUUUUUACCCUGUAAAGCAAUGGGAAACCAUUGGAAUUUACAUGGACAGCUGUCAUGAGCCUUUUAAGUGAUCACUCUGGAUAAAGUGUGAAGAAUGGGAUGGAAGAAGUCAAGAAGUAGUCAAGUAGACAGUGGCUCAAGAAAGAGGAUGGCUGUUUGGACAAGGAUGAUAAUGAAGGACGUGGAGAGCCAUGAACAAUUCAUGGAAAGAUAUUUAGGAAGUGAAAUAGAAAUUAAAUUUUAAAUAUGGGUGGUAGGAAAUGAGAAGGAGGUGUUGAAGAUGAAUCCUAGACUCUGAUCUCCCUAAUAGGGUAGAUAAGGUAUAAUUUCCUUGAAUAGAGAACCCUGGAAAAAUAGCUGGUUUAUUACAAGGUCACUACAAGUUUAUUACAAAUACAUUGAGUUUGAGGAUAACUGAUGCUCAUAAGUGGCUUUUGAGCAUCAAAAAGUCCUAUUUGUGACUCUUAUUGGAUUAUUUGGGUAUGUAAGUUUGUGUGUCAUUGAUAGGACACUGGUAAUUGAAAUCAUGGGUGCGCAUGAAAUCAUCAAUAGAAAGAGCAGACAGUAAAAAAAGAAUAUGGCUAUGACUAAGUCUAGGGAAAUUGUAGUAUUUAAUAUGGUGGCUCUCAAAAUGUGAUCCCCAGAGCAGCAGUAUCGGAAUCAACAAUCAUCUAUUGGAAAUGCAAACAGACAUCCUGAAUCAAAAACUCUGGAGGUGGUGCUCAGCAACAUGCCCCAAAACACGUCUUCAGAUGUUUCUGAUGCAUGCUCAAGUUUGAAAACCACUAAUAAUGGAAGGGUGGAGGAGACCUGUCUGUAAAGAUUACUGACAUUGAGCUGCUUGCCAGUCGGUAAAAGAGAAACCAAGGGAGUCCUUAGGAAAAGGGAGGAAAAUAUUUCAAAGAGAAGACAAAAGUCAACAGAAUCAAAUGUAGUUGGGAGAUCAAGUGAAAUGGUGGUCACUUCUGACUUUAGAGAAAAUUAUUUCCAUCAAGGACUGGGAUGAAAAUAUACUGGAAGGAUCCUGAGGAAUGAGUGAGAGGGGAAAAAAGGAGAUAAGUAUAGACAACUCUUCUUUUUAAACUUUGAAUAGACUGAAUCUGGAGGAGAGAGUGGAGAUAUGUUGUAAAAUAUUAGUGUCCUGAGCAUGUUUUAAUGCUGAAUGAUAAGAUCAGCUUGAGAGAGAAUGCAGGAGACAAAUGUGGUAACUCAGCAGUGAGGGUUCUUGGGAAGGCAGAGGGUGUGGGUUGCAAAGCCCAAAUGGAAAGACUAUAUUAGAUCCGCUCUCUUGUAGCUGAAGGAUGAGUGGGGACUCUGUGUCAUACCAUUCUCCUCCUUGCUUAUUGCUUACUGUGCUCAAGCCACAUGGAUUUUUUUUUUAUUCCUGAAUAUGUAGUAAGUUCGUCCUUCUUCAAUCGUAUCUCAAAUGUCACCUCCUCAGAGAAGUUUCCCUUGACACUGUAUCUUAUGUUGUCAUCCUCUAUUACCAUCUCCGAUCACAGCCUAAUCCUUGACCCUAUCUCUUACACUUUAUGGCACUUUUCUGUCUCUGAAGGUAUCAUAGGUUUGUGCCCACUGUCAGGUAACUCCCGGGACAGACAGACUUUGCCCUGUCCAUAGGUAUAGCUCUAGGGUUUAGCACAGUACCUGGAGUGUGGCAGGCAUUCUAUAAACAUUUCUUGAAGAAAAGAAUAAGAAAAGGGGUGCAGAUGAUCUAUCUGUAUAUUCGAUAGACGUGGGUAGAAGGGUUUCUUGCUACUAGAUCUUAUUUUCUCUUCAAGUAAUGUCAGGAGACAUUGGAUGAGUGGAGGACGUUGAUUGAGGAUGUUGAUUUGCUGAAGAGUGGGAACUAGUUCCAGCUAGUCCAGAAGCUGAGAGGGUAAACCAUAUGGAUCCAGAGAGAAUUCCAGGUGGGGUUGAGAAUCAGUUUGGGGACGAUAACCAUGACGUGGAAUGGCACACAUAGCUCUGCUGAGUGACUUUCUCCAGUGAUAUUCGGAUAAAUGGAGACGACAUGGAAAAGGCAGAUGGUUGGGACAUCAGGGCUGGUGUUUUCCAGGUGGUACAGCAAAGCUCCAGAGGAGCAGGAGACUGUAGAGGAUUAGCAAGAAUGUUACUGAGAACCAUUCACUUCAGGGCCUCGCCCAGUGAAGGGGUCAUGGCAGGAAUAGUUGAGCAAGAAACACGAAAGUUUGGAAAGUUGUGACCGAAGAUCAAGAUGCCUGAAUUAGACAUGUUCGGAGUCAUGCUUCCCUGAUGACAGGAAGAAUGUGUGGUUGAGGUGAAUGUGGAAGAAGUCAUUAGAAAGGAGGUUCCGUGGAUUUAGGUUUUCACAUCCACAAUCUUUCAAGGGCCUGAAAUGUCUUACAAACCAACCAGAUAGUUCAAAUCUUAAUGUAAAAUUCUUAACUAAAAAUAAAAACAGGUGAAAACCGCCUUACUGCAGUGGUCCUAUGCUGUUUUUGCGUGGGUCUUAAAGUUGCAUCUCUAAAUUAUGAAUAAUAAAGUAAAACCUCAUUAGCUCAUCCGCUAAUUAAGAAUUAGUGAUAAUUUGGUUAGCGGGGCUGAUACUUGGUUUCAUUAGUGAAAGAGCUGUAGAGUAAGAAAUGGAUUUGUAUAUUGAUUCUGUCGCUUUUCUGAGUGUGUGUAUUGGCCUUGGGCUAGGUUCUUAAUCCUACUGAGCCUCUGCCUUUGCAAAAAGGAGGAAAAAUUAAAUGUCUCGCAGCAUUAUUGUGAGGCUUAAAUGAGAACAUGUGUGUCAAAGUGUCUAUACGUGAUAGUUCUCAUACAACUGGAAGGCCUUAUAAUCUACGGAGAAGACAUUUGCUAUGGAAACAACAUUGUAAAAACACUUCAACCAAAUGCUUAUCUUUCCCACAAUUUUUAGACCCUCUUAGAAACACUAUUUACAAAUAAUACAUAAAAUUACAAAUUUAAAGUGGACCAAAAAUAACUGCCCUGUUUGU